UAGUUUCUCUGUUUGACAAGCAAUGAGUUAUUAGAUCUGGGGUAGCUUAUCUUAAAUCCGGUUUCUUUUAACCAUCCUCUAACUUUUAACUGAUUUCAGCAAAGCUUAUCUAUUCAUUUCAGCUAAAUCAGCGACAUCUAUUGUUAACUAUAACCUUAGCUUUUCUCAAAGCUUCAAAAUUAGUGUCUCAGUAGCUUCUCAAUCAGAUGAGAAAGGUAAAUGCCGGCCUGCCUGCAACAGCUACCAUAUUGCACGUGUGGGUUUUACCUAGUCUUGGUAAUUUUCAGCAUUUCUGCUUAGGCUGCAAAGUGCUGAGAGAUGAAGAGUGGGCAACCUUGUGGCCCCAGUAACAUACUGAUUUGUCAUAGCCGAACUAAGCCAUUUCAGUGGGAUAUUCCCAUACUUAUCUGUGCAUUUUUUCCCAUUCUGCCUCAGUAGUGUUAGGCUACAAAGGAUAGGAAUGUGUGUUUCAGAAUGGGGAGGGGGAGCUCCAAACCUUGCACAGCUCCUGACUGCUGCAGGAGCUUUCCCAUAAGAAGUUUAAGGUAACAGCAGCAUGCCUGAUUACUGUGACAGUGAAGUGAGAGCCUCAUAGUUGGGAAGAGAGGAGGCAGAACCUUAUAAAGAAUGAUGAAAAAGAAAAAGAUUGUGACUUGCAGAAUUCUUUUUGCUUUCCCCACAACUUUUUGUCUUUUGCAAAAGACAUUACUCUAGAAAAGAAAUUGUAAAGGUAAAAUGGGAUAAGUGGUUGGAAAACUGUCUGGCUGCAAAGGACCUAGGAGUACUGGUUGACAGCCAGCUGAACAUGAGCCAGGGUGUGUUCAGGUGGCCAAGAAGGCCAAUGGCAUCCUGGCUUGUAUCAGAAAUAGUGUGGCCAGCAGGACCAGGGAAGUGAUUGUCCAUUUGUACUCCACACUGGUGAGGCCACACCUCAAGUAUUGUGUUCAGUAUUGGGCCCCUCACUACAUGAAAGACAUUGAGGUGUUGGAGUGUGUCUAGAGAAGGGCAAUGAAGCUGGUGAAGGGUCUGAGAGGAAAUGGCCUCAAGUUGCACCAGGGGAGGUUUAGAUUAGAUAUUAAGAAAAAAAAUCACAGGAAGGUUUGUAAAGCAUUGGAACAGGCUGCCCAGGGAAGUGGUGGAGUCACCAUCCCUGGAACUGUUAAAAAAACAUGUGGAUAUGGCAUUUGAGGACAUGGGUUUAGUGGUGAACAUGGUGGUGGUGCUGGGUUGACAGUUGGACCUGAUUAUCUUAAAGGUCUUUUCCAACCUUUGUCACCCUGGUUUUGAAGACUUUUCUAAGCCUUCUGUAAUGUUCUUCAUAUUGGAGUCAGAAAUUUCACCUUAUCACACUUUCUACUAUAAACACUGGCCAUGUUUUGCUGACUCUUUCAUUGUUUACAUAUUUCUAGGUGGGAGGAGAAAGUUGAUUGACAGUUGGCUUGACCAAUAUGGAUUGAGAGGUGGAAUUCCAUCCUCCAAUCCACAGGCACCAUAGGAAAUGUAUAAAACUGAGUUUUGUAAAUAAACUCGCCCUUUUUCCUGCUUCGCUCACCAGCGUGUGCUCGUGUGGUUCUUUCCGUGACCACUGUGACAUCUGGUGACCCCGGUGUGUGUGGUAGGACUGUCUGGGAUGGAGGACCGGUCAUGCGGUGACGGCAGCUUUGGCUCUACUGGGUCGCCUCAAGUCCACUGGACUGUUCUCCUGACCAAAGACCGUCCUGAGAUUGUGUGUACUGUGUCCAUGGCUGAUGCAACGCCGUCGGAGAUUCAACUUCGCAGCCUCCCAGAUACCGCGGCUGAUGUUACCAUUCUCUCCCUGGCGGCUUGGCCCCCGCAGUGGCCUUUGAGCCUGGUACAGACACCUGUCGAGGGCUUAGGAGGAACGAAGCAAUCUUAUCUGAGCCAGAAUCCUGUGAUCAUCACCAACCUGGAGGGACAGAUGGCCAUGAUUUGGCCUUAUGUUACGGAGACUGCUAAGAACCUCUGGGGGAGGGAUGUUUUGGCCGCGUGGGGGGUGCGAAUCACCACGGAUUUUUAAUGGGGGCCACUGUGACGAAGGGCGCAGAGUGUCCCACGCCUCCUUUACGGUGGCUGGUGGACAAACCCAUCUGGGAGAAUCAGUGGCCCCUCUCUCAUGACAAGCUAGUCGCCCUUUGCAAACUUGUACAGGAGCAGUUGGACCAGGGUCAUCUGGAACCAUCUACCAGUCACUGGAAUACUCCUGUGUUUUGUAUCAAAAAGAAAUCUGGGAAAUGGAGGUUGCUACAAGACCUCCGAAUAACCAGUGCCGUGAUGGAAGGCAUGGGGACAUUACAGGCGGGCAUGCCAUCGCCUACCAUGCUUCCUGUGGUCUGGCCGGUCCUCAUCGUGGAUCUGAAGGAUUGUUUUUUUACAAUCCCUCUGCAUCCCGGUGACAGACCAAAAUUUGCCUUCACGGUACCAACAAUAAACAAUGCCAAACCAGCACAGAGAUAUCAAUGGAAAUUUUUGCCUCAAGGAAUGCGAAAUUCCCCGGUAUUAUGCCAAUGGUAUGUGGCCCGUGUCUUAUCUGGAGUCCGCAAGCAGUUUCCUGACGCUCACGUCUCUCAUUAUAUGGACGACAUUUUGGUGGCUGUGCCCACCAAGGAUGAGCUGCUGAGGAUACAGCCUCAGUUGUUGAAUGCUCUGCAUUCACAUGGACUGCAGGUGGCUCCAGAAAAGGUACAACAGCAACCUCCCUGGAAAUAUUUAGGUGUCAAAAUUCUGGAACGGACUAUCCGUCACCAGGAGAUGUAAUUUGUGCAACCUGUGAAGACACUGAAUGAUGCUCAGAAGCUGGUAGGUGUCAUCACUUGGUUACGUCCUUACUUAGGACUAACCACCGCACAACUGUCUCCCUUGUUUGAAUUAUUGAAAGGGGACACUGAUUUAAAGUCACCUCGUCAAUUGACCCCUGAGUAUCACCGUGGAGGCCCAACCAGGAACACAGACUGGGGACACAGAUCUGGGUGUAACAACAGCAGCAGGGCAGAAGACCCUGCCCUUAGUUUAUUUUUCCAUUAUAUAUCUGUGUCAAGGUGACCAUGGAUUGGAGAAGGGUAUCGCCACCUCUCCUGUCACAUUGGUCCAGGAGGCUGUCAUUCAACCUCCCCUUGUCUUGGAGAAAGUAUUCAUAACAUUGCCAAUAUUUACAAAACAUGGUCCUGUGUUUACAAUUCACCAGCGUGAGAAACUGCAUGUUUCUCCUUUAAUAUGAACGCUCAGCAAACCAGGAAAAUUCAUGGCAACAUCUCACCCUUUUAAGUAUAUUAAAAAGAAAACAAAAAAAGAAAAAUGAACAAUUCUAUGACAGGAAAAAAGAAAGAAAAAAAAACCUGUCUAAAGUUCACCGACCUUCAUUUAGGUGACGGUGUGAGGGCUACAUGUUGGUCUGAUUCUGCCUUUGCUACCCAGGGUUUCACCCUGAACCCCUUGCAAUAACCUGCUCAAAAUAUCUCGAGCAUAGUCUAACAUAAUUCAACCAACACCCUCAUAUUUUUAAAUUUUUAUAAGAUACAAGGGAAUAUACGGUGCAAAAGGCAGGAGCAUUCCAAGAAAGAUUUAACCACUCAAUUGAAAAUUCUGAACCCCAAAAGUUCUGUCCCAAAACCACAACCCCCAAACAACGUGCCCUUUCCCCACAGAGGUCACAAUGGCUACCAUACAUAAAACUGAGCCAUAGCAAACAAUUCCUCUGAGUCCAUGAUUAACAUUCCGCUGGCUCUCAGCAUCACACUGCUUCAGUCUGUCCUUGUCCAGCAGCUCCACAGGAUCCAAAGUCUCUAUGGAGGCCAUAUAGGAAAAGAGAGGAUGCCAGUCCGUGUCCAUGUCAAUCAGAUCUCGAAGAGGCUUCUGUGAUGGGUGGCACUAGGGUGGCACAGGGUGCACAAGGUUUCAGGAUCAGUCCAAUGCACCUGAGGCAGCUCAGCAGACUUUCAGCGGCCACCUCCGUGGCAAAGAUCCCAGAACCUGAGGAUAGAGAACUUAGAAAACACAAAUUGAGCAAUUGACUUUUUCUCAAAGAAUGCAUGCAACAUAGGAUGUGGACGUAGAAACCCACUGCAAGGUCCAAGGAAAACUGACCAUAGCUAUGUGGCAACAUCAACACUUCCUACACUUGAGAUGAUGGCUGUACACCAGCCAGAGAAUUUUGCUCUUGUUCUAGAGCUUGGGAAACUGUUUCGUCCCCCUGACGUCUUCGUCUUUUUCUUCGCCUCCGAGUUUUCGGGCUUGGCGUGGGCUCGGCAUGACCCACUGCCUCGCAUGUUUCUGCAGUAUGGUCUGGACCCACACCUUGUGCGCAGAAAAACAAGGGAGUCACUUUCUGUGCCUCCUUUUCCUGUUCUCCACUAGGCUGAAUAUCUGCCUGUGUCUCAUGUCCAUCAUUCUGCCUCUUUUCUGCCGGCUGUGAAGCAGCUGUUGGGGUAAUCACCAUACAAUCACAGGUGUUUAGAACUGCACAGGUCUGGACCAUCUCCAGGACAGUAGAAGUCUCUGGAAUGGUUUCCAGGAGCCUCUGGCAAGCAGAAUUAGCAUGACUUCUUGCUAAUUGCUCCAAUAAUAUCAAUCUUAAGGUACUAUCUUUGACUCUCAUCUCUAAAAUUUUCACCAGAUGCACUAUAAAUUUAGGAAAAGCUU